rnacentral:misc_RNA from 1 species
UUAAGUUCAGCGGGUAGUCCUACCUGAUUUGAGAUCAAACGUUCAAAAAGCUGUCCUCGCUGAGGAGAGACCUUUAUAAGCCCCAGCGAACCUCCAUCACUGAAGGUUACCUGAUGGAAGACCACAAGCGUAGAUAGUUAUCACACCUGUGAUGCCACCAAACACUGGCAAGCUGAUUCGUUUAAGAGGAGCUGACCAUA